GUAGAUAUAGUUUAGUUAAAAUCUUAGGUUGUGGCGCUGAAGUCAGGGGUUAAAAUCCUCUUAUCUACA
rnacentral:tRNA from 1 species